rnacentral:rRNA from 1 species
AUGUCGCAUUUGCUCUUCCUUGUGUUGCUAAGGACACUGAUGGGUGGGGUUUGCUUACAGCACAGGACCGAUAAUUCUGAUAGUAUGCCAAGGACUGCUCAGGGUUCCUAUCACUUUCUGUUUUACCAACUAAGAAUGAUGUAUAUGAUUUCUUAUGGUUCUGAUGGUGUGCUUCUUGUGUUUGAACUGAAGUCGUGGAUCACUCAUCAACCUGGUCUGUGUUUGUAUGGUCAGCAACCAGAACUUCCUGCUGCUGAUCCUGGGAUGCUCCCGAGCAUGUUCAAUUUAUCCGCCCUAGGACAGGUUAUUACUCAGCACGCUCGGCGUGUUUACUUCGGUGGACUUCCUCCGAUCGCUAAUGAACAGACAGUUGCUCUAUUCUUCAACCAAGUUAUGGCUGCUAUCGGGGGAAACACAUUUGAUCUAGGUGAUGCAGUUGUCAAUAUGAAGCUGAAUUUUGAAUUCAUUCAAAACAUCUUAGUUGUUAAUAUGAAGCUGAUUUUUGAAUUCAUUCAAAACAUCUUAGGUGGCAUAAUCAUCUGA